rnacentral:lncRNA from 1 species
CAGAACCAUUAUGAAAUGUUAGCUCUGUGGCACCAGAAUCCCCAUACUUCCAGAUUGACGGGAAUUCGGGGCCGAACUUGUUGAGAUUGCAUGAAAGUGACAGAAAAGAAGACUAAGCUUCCUGAUCCAGUUUAGAAAGAAUUGCUGACAAUGUGCCUCCCACCUGUGAAAACAAAACCAAACAAACAAAAAGCCCUGGGAUCACUGCAAAUCCAUCCACAAAAGGCACUCCCACCUUCAAGUGUCAGGUUACUUCUAUUGAAAAGGACUCAGAGAUGUGUACCCGGAAGAGAUCAAGUUCUAACCUGAAACCAACCUUGCGUGGGAGAUUUGUGGCUCCUGACCAAGAGAAGCCAAUACAAGGAGAUGGGCCUGAGCUCCUGAAUAUUCAAAAUAUUAGUUUUUCCUUCCCACACAUUACUCAGGAGACCAAGGACUCCAUGGCCAAAAACAAAACAAAACAAACAAACAAACAAAAAACAAAAGAAACUAUUUGAAACUACUGAGUUUCAUCCCAUUCAGCAAUUAAUCAUGGCUUACCCAGUCCAUUUCCUUCAUCAUUUUUAAUGUCAUGACUCAUCGGGUGGAUGGAUCUGUUUCAGAGGGCCAAUUCCCAGCAGGAUAGCAUCCAGGGCAGACUUCCUGUGCCGUGGCUCUGUUGUCUAGCCUUUUAAGGUAAUCCAUAGCUCCUUGAGAGAUUCAUAGUAUUUGCUCAAGCCUCCCAUAUCCUGUAAAUAUAUUUUUAAUUUUUAGAAGGGGAAAACAAUGCUUAAAUUUGUAACUCUCCUCAGAAGCAGCCAAUAUACCGAAUAUUUGCAUUUAGCUCAAUAAAUAGGUAAAAUGUCUUAACCAUUGAGUCAUUAUAUUAGAUCCUUUGAAAUUUAAAAGGAUAGUAUAAUAACUCAGGCCAUUUCUUUUAUACACUCACAUAUUUAAAUUAUGUAUAAACAGAGUUACAAUCAUAAAAUCAUAUCAAAGCCAAAGAAA